AUGCCGCCGCCGUCGAUGGUGCUGCAGCUCCCACGGCUGGGCCGAUUCGCCGGAGUAACGGCGGCACCUGCAUUCCAAGACGGAGCCCGCAACUUGAAUUCCCAUGGGUGCCACAGCAGCCGGCGCUCCUCCUCGUCCAGCAGCAGAAGCAGCAGCUGGUUCUCCUCCAACGCCGAGAAUCCCGGCCCCGACACCAGAGACGAUAACAGGACUAGUAGUAGGAGGUGGUGGUCCGAUGACCAAUUCGACGUGGAGGAGGAGGAGGAGGAGGAAUUCGGGAGCGAGGGCUCGUUUGGUUCUGCAAGGGAGAUGUUCGACGAGCCAUGGUUUACCAAGGUGUUCAGGGUGUACGGGUAUGUGCUCCCGGUGCUGCUGGCGUCCAUGCUGGUGACAACGGGGCCACAGGCUUUCCUCAUGGCCAUGGCCAUCCCGCUCGCCCAGUCCGUUCUCUCUUUCGCCAUUUCCAAGAUUGGUUCAUUUGGCCGGCGCCGCCGUGACGAAGAAGAAUAUGACGACGAUGGUUACUAUUAUUCCGAUUACGGCAGCGGCGGCUGGGAAGCUGAAGAACAGUAUAGCAGCAACUCCUCGACAUACAGAGGAGACAGCAGCACUAGUAGCAGCAGGUACCAGCAGCAGCAACAGGAGGAAUCUGCAGAUUCAGAUCCAACGGUAGAAUCAGGUGAUAUUGACGGUACCACCGGCGCCGCAGCUAGAAGUGAAAGUGGUAAUAUCGGUUUUGGAGGAUGGGACGAGCUGGAAGAAGGCGACGACCGCCGCAGCAGCAGCAGGUGGCGUGCACGAGCGUCGCCGGCGGAUACUGCUACCGCUGGUGGUGCAGUGAGAACGAGUAGACCACCUGCAACUAGAAGGAGAAGAAGCAGAGGAGCUGCGGCUGCAAGGUACAGGCAGGCGCCCCUGCCGAUGCGCUUGCUCGUCGCGCUCUUCCCAUUCCUGGGUUCAUGGUUCAGAAUUUUGCUCUAA
rnacentral:rRNA from 1 species